CCCCUAGAUGUUCUGGGCCGCACGCGCGCUACACUGAACAGUUCAACAAGUCUUAACCUUGGCCGAUAGGUCUGGGUAAUCUUUGAACGCUGUUCGUGAUUGGGAUAGACCUUUGCAAUUAUGGGUCUUCAACGAGGAAUUCCUAGUAAACGCAAGUCAUCAGCUUGCAUUGAUUACGUCCCUGUCCUUUGUACACACCGCCCGUCGCACCUACCGAUUGAAUGGUCCGGUGAAAUCUCGGGACGGCGGCUUGGUCGCUUGCGUCCGACUGCUGAAACUUGAUUAAACCAUAUCAUUUAGAGGAAGGAGAAGUCGUAACA
rnacentral:rRNA from 1 species